UACGUAGGUGGCAAGCGUUAUCCGGAAUUACUGGGCGUAAAGCGCACGCAGGCGGUCUUUUAAGUUUGACGUGAAAGCUCUCGGCUUAACUGGGAGAGGUCGUUGAAUACUGGGAGACUUGAGGAAAUGAGAGGGGUGUAGAAUUCCCGGUGUAGUGGUGGAAUGCGCAGAUAUCGGGGGGAAUACCAGUGGCGAAAGCGGCACCCUGGGAUUUUGCUGACGCUCAUGUGCGAAAGCGUGGGGAGCGAACGGG
rnacentral:rRNA from 1 species